rnacentral:rRNA from 1 species
GAUGAACGCUGGCGGCGUGCCUAAUACAUGCAAGUCGAGCGAACAGACGAGGAGCUUGCUCCUCUGACGUUAGCGGCGGACGGGUGAGUAACACGUGGAUAACCUACCUAUAAGACUGGGAUAACUUCGGGAAACCGGAGCUAAUACCGGAUAAUAUAUUGAACCGCAUGGUUCAAUAGUGAAAGACGGUUUUGCUGUCACUUAUAGAUGGAUCCGCGCCGCAUUAGCUAGUUGGUAAGGUAACGGCUUACCAAGGCAACGAUGCGUAGCCGACCUGAGAGGGUGGUAGGCCACACUGGAACUGAGACACGGUCCAGACUCCUAAGGGAGGCAGCAGUAGGGAAUCUUCCGCAAUGGGCGAAAGCCUGACGGAGCAACGCCGCGUGAGUGAUGAAGGUCUUCGGAUCGUAAAACUCUGUUAUUAGGGAAGAACAAAUGUGUAAGUAACUAUGCACGUCUUGACGGUACCUAAUCAGAAAGCCACGGCUAACUACGUG